CCGCCUGCCCUGUGACAAUGUUCAACGGCCGCGGUAUUUUGACCGUGCAAAGGUAGCGUAAUCACUUGUCUUUUAAAUGAAGACCUGUAUGAAAGGCAUCACGAGAGUUUAACUGUCUCUAUUUUCUAAUCAAUGAAAUUGAUCUAUUCGUGCAGAAGCGAAUAUAAUAACAUUAGACGAGAAGACCCUAUGGAGCUUCAAACACUUAAAUUAAUUAUGUAAUCAUCCACUUCCCAGGAUAUAAACAAAAUAUACAAUACUUCUAAUUUAACUGUUUUUGGUUGGGGUGACCAAGGGGAAAAACAAAUCCCCCUCAUCGAUUGAGUACUAAGUACUUAAAAAUUAGAAUGACAAUUCUAAUUAAUAAAAUAUUUAUCGAAAAAUGACCCAGGAUUUCCUGAUCAAUGAACCAAGUUACCCUAGGGAUAACAGCGCAAUCCUUUCUCAGAGUCCCUAUCGAAGAAAGGGUUUACGACCUCGAUGUUGGAUCAGGACAUCCUAAUGGUGCAACCGCUAUUAAGGGUUCGUUUGUUCAACGAUUAAUAGUCCUACGUGAUCUGA
rnacentral:rRNA from 1 species